GUCUAAAAUCGAAUUUUCUUCCUUGCUGUAUGUGAAGAACCGCUGACUCAUCUCAUAAUUACAGCAUCACCCCCACUUUCUCUCAAUUCCCCACUCCUUACCCUCAACCCAGAUUUCCAUUUCACAUUCUUCUACUUCUUCUUCUUCUUCGCUCUCUCUCUCUAGGGUUUAUUGGUCUCUGUUCUGAGCUUCAAUGGCUUCUUCAUCGUCUAGAAAAGCCUGUUUUCAGUGCGAGGACUCAAACUCCACCCAGUUCAGAAACGGUUGGAGGGUUCGCAGUGGCCACUUCGCUCAGCUCUGCAAUCGAUGCUCCUCUUUGUAUGAGGAAGGAAGAUUCUGUGACACUUAUCAUGCAAAUGAUGAUGGUUGGAGGGACUGCGAAUCUUGUGGAAAGUUGGUUCACUGCGGAUGUAUUGCGUCAUUCCAUGCAUAUAUGCUGUUGGAUUUUGGUGGAGUGAUCUGCAUGGAAUGCUCAAAGGUUAAUUUCAUUCUGGCACGAAAACGAUGUCUAUAUUCUGAAACUCAAAUAGGAAUUGGAGAACCACAAGGGGAUGCCGCUAGGCCAAUCCAGAUAGAUCCUCAAUACUGGCCUCGGGUGACUGAUCAAGAGUUACAACAGAUCGCCAGAAAAACAAAUUCUGUUGUCAUUCCAUUGUUCGAGAAAUUAUUGUCUGCUAGUGAUGCUGAUCACAAGUUGGCACGUCUCGUGAUACCAAAAAAAUGUGCAGAGGCUUUUUUCCCCAAAAUUACUACCCCACAUGGGUGCCCUCUCAAAAUCCAGGAUACAGAAGGCAAGGAAUGGGAAUUUCAGUUCCACUUUUGGCCCAAUAGUGGCAGCAAGAUGUAUGUUCUAGAAGGGCUUAGAGAUUAUAUGGUUUCAGUGCAAUGGCAAGCGGGUGACAUAGUGACAUUUUAUAGGAUUGAACCAGAGAAAAAGUUGGUCAUGGGAUUGAGAAAGACUUGUGCUAGUGUAUCACCUUAUGAGGUUUCGGCCUGAUGUUUCAGUAAGAAGAUUAUAAAGGCCAUUCUGAAUUUUAUGCUUUCCUGUGGAUGCUUUUGAUGGUUUUUAUGCACAAGCCUUCAGAACAUGGUACACUAGAUGAUGCUCCCAUUUCGAAACCAAAUCUAUGCUUCCUGCCUCGGAAGAAUUCGCAAGAAUGUGGUCCUUCGGUCGUAAAACUCUGAUUUUUGUUUGUGUUUAAAGUGAAAUCCUUGACUUGGGGUUCCAAAAAGUAAGGUUGGUAUGAUGACAAUGGAUGGUGGAUGGUCCCUAGAAGGCCAGGUGCAGCGACUGUGAAUAAACAGAUAUGCAGUGAUGUUUCAUUAUGCUGUAAUAUAUCAGUUUCUUUUUUGAUACAUUGGAGCCGUAGUUUAGGGGAAGGAAAGUCUUGUAUGGAGCGAGACUCGAACUCUUGACAUCUUAGUGAGUUAGAUGCUUUCUGGUUAUGCUGUAAUAUAUCGCUUUUUUGAAGUCUUCUAUGGUUUAAGACUUGAACUGUUGAUAUCUUAGUGAGUUAGAUGCCUUCUGGCUAUGAUGUAAUAUAUUGCUUUCUUGAAAGUUGUUGAGCAGCAAAUGGGUAGAAAUUCAUUUCA